rnacentral:rRNA from 1 species
AUAGCGUAUAUUAAAGUUGUUGUGGUUAAAAAGCUCGUAGUUGAACCUUGGGCCUGGCUGGCCGGUCCGCCUCACCGCGUGUACUGUUCCGGCCGGGCCUUUCCCUUUGUGGACCCGCAUGCCCUUCACUGGGUGUGUCGGGGAACCAGGACUUUUACCUUGAGAAAAUUAGAGUGCUCAAAGCAGGCUUAUGCUCGAAUACAUUAGCAUGGAAUAAUAAAAUAGGACGUGCGGUUCUAUUUUGUUGGUUUCUAGAGCCGCCGUAAUGAUUAAUAGGGACAGUCGGGGGCAUCAGUAUUCAAUUGUCAGAGGUGAAAUUCUUGGAUUUAUUGAAGACUAACUACUG